UAAGCCAAAACUGAUUUGCCCUUCCCUAUCAGACCUGGGCCUUGUGUAUGUAGGUGGUACCAUAGAUACAUCUGUCCCCAUCAGACCUGGGUAUAUAGGUGGUACCAUAGAUAUAUCGGUCCCCAUCAGACCUUGUGUAUGUAGGUGGUACCAUAGAUAUAUCUGUCCCCAUCAGACCUGGAUAUGUAGGUGGUACCAUAGAUAUACCUGUCCCCAUCAGAUCUGUGUAUGUAGGUGGUACUAUCCCCAUCAGACCUUGUGUAUGUAGGUGGUACCAUAGAUAUAUCUGUCCCCAUCAGACCUGGGUAUGUAGGUGGUACUAUCACCAUCAGUCGUGGGUAUGUAGGUGGUACUAUCACCAUCAGUCGUGGGUAUGUAGGUGGUACUAUCCCCAUCAGACCUGGGUAUGUAGGUGGUACUAUCCCCAUCAGACCUUGGUAUGUAGGUGGUACUAUCCCCAUCAGACCUGGGUAUGUAGGUGGUACUAUCACCAUCAGUCGUGGGUAUGUAGGUGGUACUAUCCCCAUCAGACCUGGGUAUGUAG